GACGAACGCUGGCGGCGUGCUUAACACAUGCAAGUCGAACGAAGUGGCGAACGGGGGAGUAAUACGGGGGUAAACUGCCCUCAUUUUUGGGAUAAGCCUUGGAAACGGGGUCUAAUACCGAAUAAAGGCGGUUGGGCUUGCGGCUUUUCAGGUUGUGGGGGGGGGGCUGGCCUACGAAGGCGGUGACGGGUAGCCGGACUGAGAGGGUGACCGGCCACAUGGGGAGUGACAUACGGCCCAGAGACCUACGAGUGGCGGCAGUGGGGGAUAGGGCGCAAGGGGCGAACGCCUGAGGCGGCGACGCCGAGUGGGGGAUGAAGGCUUACAGGUUGUAAACCUCUUUCGCUAGCGAACGGGUAGGUGGAGAAGAAGCGCCGGCUAACUACGUGCCAGCAGCCGCGGUAAUAC
rnacentral:rRNA from 1 species